CUACGUGCCAGCAGCCGCGGUCAUACGUAGGAUCCGAGCAUUAUCCGGAGUGACUGGGUGUAAAGAGUUGCGUAGGUGGCAAGAUAAGUAGAUAGUGAAAUCUGGUGGCUCAACCAUUCAGACUAUUAUCUAAACUAUCUAGCUCGAGACUGUUAUGGGUAACUGGAAUUUCUAGUGUAGGAGUGAAAUCCGUAGAUAUUAGAAGGAACACCGAUAGCGUAGGCAGGUUACUGGGACAGUUCUGACACUAAGGCACGAAAGCGUAGGGAGCAAACGGGAUUAGAUACCCCGGUAGUCUACGCCGUAAACGAUGGAUACUAGCAGUUUUGGGUAUCGACCCCCGGAGUUGCGAAGCUAACGCGUUAAGUAUCCCACCUGUGUAGUACGAUCGCAAGAUUAAAACAUAAAGGAAUUGACGGGGACCCGCACAAGCGGUGGAGCGUGAUCUUUAAUUCGAUGGUAAACGAUAAACCUUACCAAGGCUU
rnacentral:rRNA from 1 species